UUUCCGUAGGUGAACCUGCGGAAGGAUCAUUCAUAAUAAGUGUUUUAUGGCACUUUUUUAAAUCCAUAUCCACCUUGUGUGCAAUGUCAGGGUUGAUUUUUCUCUCGAGAGGAUCAACCCCAAACAUCAACUAUAUCUCAACUCUUUGUCUGAAAAAUAUUAUGAAUGAAACAAUUCAAAAUACAACUUUCAACAACGGAUCUCUUGGCUCUC
rnacentral:misc_RNA from 1 species